rnacentral:rRNA from 1 species
GAUGAACGCUGGCGGCGUGCCUAAUACAUGCAAGUCGAGCGAAGCGGGGACGGGUGAGUAAGACGUGGAUAACCUGCUUUACGACCGGGAUAACUUCGGGAAACCGGUGCUAAAGCGGAUACUUAGAGAUGGAUCCUCGUGGCAUUAGCUAGUCGGUAAGGUAACGGCUUACCAAGGCAACGAUGCAUAGCCGACCUGAGAGGGUGAUCGGCCACACUGGAACUGAGACACGGUCCAGACUCCUACGGGAGGCAGCAGUAGGGAAUCUUCCGCAAUGGGCGAAAGCCUGACCGAGCAACGCCGCGUGAGUGAUGAAGGUCUUCGGAUCGUAAAACUCUGUUAUUAGGGAAGCGGUACCUAAUCAGAAAGCCACGGCUAACUACGUGCCAGCCGCCGCGGUAAUUC